rnacentral:lncRNA from 1 species
GAAAUAUUGAAAAAAUGUCUUAAUUUCGUAAAUCUAAAGGAGAAGAAAAUAAUGCUGUCAGAAAAUUAAAUUCUACUGAUCAUCAAAGUCUUUCACUUGCUUUUUAAGAUUUAACUGUACUUGUGCUAUAUAAUUUCUAAUAAGGAUCAUUCAUUAUUUAAUGGGUUUUUUGUGCAAUUUCUUAAAUGAAAAAGAGAUUAAAGGAAUAUUCUAGUAGCACAAAAUUUGGGUAGAAAAGAAGAAAACUGUAGUAUCAUGAAGAAACAUAUCACACUAUUAUGCCACAUUGUGGUGGCAUUACAUAAUAUAAAAUGUAUUUGUUGUUUCGUUUAACGAUUGCUAGAUAAAUCUUUUUUUAAAUAAUAUGCUUAUAUAUUUGAUACCGGGUGUGAUUUCAUAAGUGAAGAUACGAAAUGAAUUAUUUACUACAUAUAUCUAUAAUUUAAAGCGCAGAGUAGUGUUUUAAUAGCUCAAUAAUGUAACAAAUUCAUUGUAAUUUUUAAGACGAUGUCAUACCAUGAUUGUACAUUUAAUAUUACUUAUUAAUAUAUAUUUUCUAAAAAUA